rnacentral:rRNA from 1 species
AACGAGCGCUGGCGGUGUGGAUAAGACAUGCAAGUCGAACGAGAGAAUUGCUAGCUUGCUAAUAAUUCUCUAGUGGCGCACGGGUGAGUAACACGUGAGUAACCUGCCCUCGAGAGCGGGAUAGCCCUGGGAAACUGGGAUUAAUACCGCAUAGUAUCGAAAGAUUAAAGCAGCAAUGCGCUUGGGGAUGGGCUCGCGGCCUAUUAGUUAGUUGGUGAGGGUAACGGCUCACCAAGGCGAUGACGGGUAGCCGGUCUGAGAGGAUGUCCGGCCACACUGGAACUGAGACACGGUCCAGACACCUACGGGUGGCAGCAGUCGAGAAUCAUUCACAAUGGGGGAAACCCUGAUGGUGCGACGCCGCGUGGGGGAAUGAAGGUCUUCGGAUUGUAAACCCCUGUCAUGUGGGAGCAAAUUAAAAAGAUAGUACCACAAGAGGAAGAGACGGCUAACUCUGUGCCAGCAGCCGCGGUAAUACAGAGGUCUCAAGCGUUGUUCGGAAUCACUGGGCGUAAAGCGUGCGUAGGCUGUUUCGUAAGUCGUGUGUGAAAGGCGCGGGCUCAACCCGCGGACGGCACAUGAUACUGCGAGACUAGAGUAAUGGAGGGGGAACCGGAAUUCUCGGUGUAGCAGUGAAAUGCGUAGAUAUCGAGAGGAACACUCGUGGCGAAGGCGGGUUCCUGGACAUUAACUGACGCUGAGGCACGAAGGCCAGGGGAGCGAAAA